UACGUAGGGUCCGAGCGUUGUCCGGAAUUACUGGGCGUAAAGAGCUCGUAGGUGGUUUGUCGCGUUGUUCGUGAAAACUCACAGCUCAACUGUGGGCGUGCGGGCGAUACGGGCAGACUAGAGUACUGCAGGGGAGAGCGGAACUCCUGGUGUAGCGGUGGAAUGCGCAGAUAUCAGGAGGAACACCGGUGGCGAAGGCGGCCUUCUGGGCCUGUUCUGACGCUGAGGAGCGAAAGCGUGGGGAGCGAACAGG
rnacentral:rRNA from 1 species